rnacentral:rRNA from 1 species
UACGGGGGGGGCAAGCGUUGUUCGGAAUUACUGGGCGUAAAGGGCUCGUAGGCGGCCAACUAAGUCGGACGUGAAAUCCCUCGGCUUAACCGGGGAACCGCGUCCGAUACUGGAUGGCUUGAGUUCGGGAGAGGGAUGCGGAAUUCCAGGUGUAGCGGUGAAAUGCGUAGAUAUCUGGAGGAACACCGGUGGCGAAGGCGGCAUCCUGGACCGACACUGACGCUGAGGAGCGAAAGCCAGGGGAGCAAACGGG